GACGAACGCUGGCGGCGUGCUUAACACAUGCAAGUCGAACGGAAAGGCCCUGCUUUUGUGGGGUGCUCGAGUGGCGAACGGGUGAGUAACACGUGAGUAACCUGCCCUUGACUUUGGGAUAACUUCAGGAAACUGGGGCUAAUACCGGAUAGGAGCUCCUGCUGCAUGGUGGGGGUUGGAAAGUUUCGGCGGUUGGGGAUGGACUCGCGGCCUAUCAGCUUGUUGGUGGGGUAGUGGCUUACCAAGGCUUUGACGGGUAGCCGGCCUGGGAGGGUGACCGGCCACAUUGGGACUGAGAUACGGCCCAGACUCCUACGGGAGGCAGCAGUGGGGAAUAUUGCACAAUGGGCGGAAGCCUGGUGCAGCAACGCCGCGUGCGGGAUGACGGCCUUCGGGUUGUAAACCGCUUUCGCCUGUGACGAAGCGUGAGUGACGGUAAUGGGUAAAGAAGCACCGGCUAACUACGUG
rnacentral:rRNA from 1 species